rnacentral:rRNA from 1 species
CCUACGGGGAGCAGCAGUGAGGAAUAUUGGUCAAUGGACGAGAGUCUGAACCAGCCAAGUAGCGUGAAGGAUGACUGCCCUAUGGGUUGUAAACUUCUUUUAUAUGGGAAUAAAAUGUUCCACGUGUGGGAUUUUGUAUGUACCAUAUGAAUAAGGAUCGGCUAACUCCGUGCCAGCAGCCGCGGUAAUACGGAGGAUCCGAGCUUUAUCCGGAUUUAUUGGGUUUAAAGGGAGCGUAGGUGGAUUGUUAAGUCAGUUGUGAAAGUUUGCGGCUCAACCGUAAAAUUGCAGUUGAAACUGGCAGUCUUGAGUACAGUAGAGGUGGGCGGAAUUCGUGGUGUAGCGGUGAAAUGCUUAGAUAUCACGAAGAACUCCGAUUGCGAAGGCAGUUCACUGGACUGCAACUGACACUGAGGCUCGAAAGUGUGGGUAUCAAACAGGAUUAGAUACCCGAGUAGUC